rnacentral:rRNA from 1 species
UAGGGAAUCUUCCGCAAUGGGCGAAAGCCUGACGGAGCAACGCCGCGUGAGUGAUGAAGGUCUUCGGAUCGUAAAACUCUGUUAUUAGGGAAGAACAAAUGUGUAAGUAACUAUGCACGUCUUGACGGUACCUAAUCAGAAAGCCACGGCUAACUACGUGCCAGCAGCCGCGGUAAUACGUAGGUGGCAAGCGUUAUCCGGAAUUAUUGGGCGUAAAGCGCGCGUAGGCGGUUUUUUAAGUCUGAUGUGAAAGCCCACGGCUCAACCGUGGGGGGUCAUUGGAAACUGGAAAACUUGAGUGCAGAAGAGGAAAGUGGAAUUCCAGGUGUAGCGGUGAAAUGCGCAGAGAUAUGGAGGAACACCAGUGGCGAAGGCGACUUUCUGGUCUAUAACUGACGCUGAUGUGCGAAAGCGUGGGGAUCAAACAGG